rnacentral:rRNA from 1 species
CCCUUAGAUGUUCUGGGCUGCACGCGCGCUACACUGACCAGUGCAACAAGCAUCCGUCCUUGGCCGACAGGCUCGGGCAAUCUUUGAACGCUGGUCGUGAUGGGGAUAGACUUUUGCAAUUUUUGGUCUUCAACGAGGAAUUCCUAGUAAACGCAAGUCAUCAACUUGCAUUGAUUACGUCCCUGCCCUUUGUACACACCGCCCGUCGCACCUACCGAUUGAAUGGUCCGGUGAAAUCUCGGGACGGCGGCUUGGUCGCUUGCGUCCGACUGCUGAAACUUGAUUAAACCAUAUCAUUUAGAGGAAGGUGAAGUCGUAACA